rnacentral:rRNA from 1 species
GAUGAACGCUGACAGAAUGCUUAACACAUCAGCAAAUGAUUGGAGGCGGACGGGUGAGUAACGCGUAAAGAACUUACCUCACAGUUAGGCACAACAUUUGGAAACGAAAGCUAAUACCUAAUACUGUGAGAGAGCUUUGCGUCCCAUUAGCUAGUUGGAAAGGUAAACGCUCACCAAGGCGAUGAUGGGUAGCCGGCCUGAGAGGGUGAUCGGCCACAAGGGGACUGAGACACUGCCCUUACGCCUACGGGAGGCAGCAGUGGGGAAUAUUGGACAAUGGACCAAAGUCUGAUGCAGCAAUUCUGUGUGUACGAUGAAGUUGUCGGAAUGUAAAGUGCUUUCAGUUGAGAAACGGUACCAACAGAAGAAGUGACGGCUAAAUACGUGCCAGCAGCCGCGGUAAUAC